UCCACUCCCCACUCUCUCCUCCACUCCCACACACUCUCCUCCUACCUCUCCCCACGAAAUUGCUUCUCCUCCUAGCUUCAUGGCCGGCCAUGGCCAUGGAAAGCUCACCAAGAUGCAGCUCCUUCCUCCCUCAAGCUCAUCCUCACCAUGAGAGCCUCCCCCUCCAUCUUCUCCCCAACCUUAGAUGGUUUAAUCUCCUCUUCUUCUCCCUCCAUUGCUAAGAUUGGAUCUUGAUGCAGGUGCAUGUUGGUCCAAGCAUGGAGAAGAUUCUGGUACGAUCUUGUAAAAUCCGCCAAAUCUCGUGUGCAGAUCCAAAUCGAGUGGUUCAAAGUUCUGCAGAUAGGCAUUGAAAAUAUCUACAACUUGGCGUUGGUCUCAUCCUCAAAUUCGUUACGGAUUUUGCAUGAUAAAUAAAGUUCUGCAAACAUGCAGAAUCAUUGUUUGUUA